rnacentral:rRNA from 1 species
UCCAGACUCCUACGGGAGGCAGCAGUGGGGAAUAUUGGGCAAUGGGCGCAAGCCUGACCCAGCAACGCCGCGUGAAGGAAGAAGGCUUUCGGGUUGUAAACUUCUUUGACAGGGGAAGAGCAGAAGACGGUACCCUGAAAACAAGCUCCGGCUAACUACGUGCCAGCAGCCGCGGUAAUACGUAGGGAGCGAGCGUUGUCCGGAAUUACUGGGUGUAAAGGGAGCGUAGGCGGGGAUGCAAGUUGGGUGUCAAAACUACCGGCUCAACUGGUAGUCGCACUCAAAACUGCAGCUCUUGAGUGAAGUAGAGGCAGGCGGAAUUCCUAGUGUAGCGGUGAAAUGCGUAGAUAUUAGGAGGAACACCAGUGGCGAAGGCGGCCUGCUGGGCUUUUACUGACGCUGAGGCUCGAAAGUGUGGGGAGCAAACAGGAUUAGAUACCCGAGUACG